UCAGCCCUGAGUUUGUAAUGGGAAAAAUGUGCAUGCACUCACGCACACACAAACACAUUUAGCAAGCAUUUUAAUGUUGGUUUAACCAUUCCUUUCCUUCUUUGCCUUAGAAUGAAUGGAAGAAAGGAUGCUGCAAAUCUUUUCAUCUCAUUACACAGUGAUGACUUCCACCAUCACCUUUCUAAUGUCCUCCAAAAUAAAAGGCCAAACUCUCUUCAGUGUCUUAUACACUAGUCUGUGGCAUGGCACUUUGCCUACCAGCAUUCUCACUUUAGACCCUGCUUAUGAGCAUGAAUCUCUGCUACAGCAAGGAACCGAAAAUGUUCCAGUUUUCUCUCCACAUUGCCUCACACACUGCAGGAUCAGAAAAAGCAGCAUGAAGCUCCACAUAAUGAAGAGCAAUCAUCUCACAUCAGCAAGGAAAGCAGGACUGAGUACAGUACUUCAGAGACAUGAUUGUAAAAGGAAGAAGCAAACCAGAGAACAUUUAAGAAGAAAAUAGCACUCUGACCCUCUCUGAAUUAAAUGCUAUCAAUCAAGUUUAAAUUUAGCUCCUACAUGGUCCCAGACGAAAAGAAGGCAGUCGGGGCAAGGAAAGCUUAACGCCUGAGAAUAUUUGUAUUGCAUGGCAAGGAAAACAAGCCUAAAGUCAACAAAGGGCAGCCUGUAAAAACAAAUAGUCUGAUGAGAAUGUUGCUGCCACCAGAAAGCUCAUUAGCAGCCAGAAGCCGAACUGUCCCUCUGCUCUUUCUUUGCUGACUGCCCCCAGCCCAGUGCUACCGCAGUGCUUCUGACUCAGCUGAUGCCUCCCUCUUAGCGUAACCCUGAGCACUUGACAAUGCACACCCUCAGCAUGAGAAGUGGUUCCCCAGGGUGGGCUGUGUUGGGCUGCAGCGGGAGGCAGGAGUGGAAAAAGAGCAGGAAAUAUCUAAGCUUUAUUUCAAGUAAUAGUAAUAUAUACAUACACACAUAGGAAUUGUCUUUUUCUUUUCUAAGAUAAACCAGCAGAGGGAAAAUCUGGGUGUAAAAUGAUGAGAAUAAACACUGCCAUGCCCACCA
rnacentral:lncRNA from 1 species